AGCGAACGCUGGCGGCAGGCUUAACACAUGCAAGUCGAACGGGCACUUCGGUGCUAGUGGCCGACGGGUGAGUAACACGUGGGAACGUACCUUUCGGAUCGGAAUAAUUCAGGGAAACUUGGACUAAUACCGGAUACGCCCUUCGGGGGAAAGAUUUAUCGCCGGUAGAGCGGCCCGCGUGUGAUUAGCUAGUUGGGGAGGUAAUGGCGCACCAAGGCGACGAUCAGUAGCUGGUCUGAGAGGAUGCUCCGCCCACAUUGGGACUGAGACCCGGCCCAAAAUCCGACGGGAGGGAGCAAUGGGGGAUAUUGGACAAUGGGCGCAAGCCUGAGCCAGCCAUGCCGCGUGAGUGAUGAAGGCCUUAGGGUUGUAAAGCUCUUUUGUCCGGGAAGAUAAUGACUGUACCGGAAGAAUAAGCCCCGGCUAACUUCGUGACAGCCGCCGCUGUAACAC
rnacentral:rRNA from 1 species